rnacentral:sRNA from 1 species
GUCGCAAGGAGGCCGGUUUCGCGAUAACG